GACGAACCACACAAACGUUAUUUGGAAUUACUGGGCUUAAAGGGCGCGUAGGCUGAGCAGAAAGUUGGGUGUGAAAUCCCUCGGCUCAACCGAGGAACUGCGCCCAAAACUACUGUGCUCGAGGAAGACAGAGGUGAGCGGAACUUAGGGUGGAGCGGUGAAAUGCGUUGAUAUCCUAAGGAACACCCGUGGCGAAAGCGGCUCACUGGGUCUUUUCUGACGCUGAGGCACGAAAGCUAGGGUAGCGAACGGG
rnacentral:rRNA from 1 species